GGAAAUGUGCAGGUGUUUGAUAUUUAGCUCCCUAUUGCAGUUGAUAGAAUAAUUAUUUUGUUUAAACUUUUCAAAUCAACAGAAUUUCUUUCGUUGAGUCUGGAAUUGCCUUAUUUAGUAUUGAGACUCAAGAAGCUGCUCCUGGCUUUUGUGUUCUGUUUGCUCAGUCCUCAGCCCUGACAGAUCUUGGGGUAUUCUGAAGUCCUGACGCACUGCACUCAAUCAGAUAGGCAGUCAAGGCCAAGGGGAAAAUCAGGGUUCACGUGGAAUUUUGCAUAGUGCUUGAAGUUUCGAGUUCAUGCAAGCCUCAAUGCCUGAAGGAAGACUGCCAUGGGAUGCAACCCCAGGGUGACCUGAACCUGCCAAUUUGAGUUAAGCAAAACUUCAAAAGAAGCCCAGCCCUAGUUGCAAAUACAACACCUGGUCAGACUGUCCUAUACCCAGUGGCAUGAGAAGUGAGACAGCAUGCACCAAUAUGGCACAUUAUCCCUGCUAUACUUGUGCUCUAGUGGCAGCAUGCAAAAAUCACAUGACAUAUCCCCUCACUGCUGCAGUCUGGUUCCUGUCUCUGCAGUAUUAUCAUCGAUCUUUUGCUCCACAUUAGGCUCCUAGGCAGCCCAUUGGGGCUGAUUUGUCAAUAAUUUCAAAGGUUAUUCAAACAUUCAAGCUUUAUUGUGAUUCUUAAUGGAUCAUCUCCAUAGAGCAAUUUAGUAGUGUAGUAGAGAAGGUUAUACAGCAACACUGAGUACGACCAGACUGGGGACAGUGCAGCUAUAAAGUUGCAUGCUGCCACCAUAAGACCUUAAAUCCAAGGGAGGUAUCUGAUAGAUCCUUGCACGCUUUGGAUGUAUCAAUAGCUUCAAGUAAGUCAUCCACAUACAUUAUGAUAUAGGAAGAGGUGAAAAUCAACUGGAUUAAUAAGAGUCAACAGUGUAAACAACUGGCAUCAGCUGUCAAUGCCAUGUUGGAAUUCUACAGCAUGGGAUUGCUUAGUAACAAGAACACGGAUCUAGUCACACUCAGACCUGCCUAUUAAAAGGAAUACAUGAGGUCCACAAAGAACCUACACAGCCAGAACUGUCAUUUGGCAUGAGCUGAUCAACACUUUUCUUGAAGUGUGGAGCAAACGUUCACAACAGGCUGAUGAACUCCUGGUGGGUUCAUCUCUCCCACAUGUCACUUUUUCAAAGUGCAGAGAAUUAAAUCCACAAAAAAAGCAUAUUUAAAUAAAGUUAAUGUUCAAGAUAUUGGUCUUGAUUCUUCCCUCACUUAAACCACUGGAAUCUAGGAGUAAUUCCUCUGCAAAUCAAUGAAACUAAGACAGUGCAAGUGAAAGUAGACUGAGUUCCACUGAAACACAAAAUACAAGACAAAAUAUGCUUCCUUACUGUACCAGUCAGGAGGGGUCAGACUGCAGGACAGAACACAUUACUUUCCUCACCUCAAACAUCAGAGGAAGAAAGCAGGAUUUAAGAUCAAAAGGUGAAAUCUUGACCCUAUUGAAGUCAAUUGGAGUCUUGGCAUUGGGUGAAAUCCUGGCUACACUGAAGUGAGUGGAGUCAGAAUUUCACCCAAAGUGUCAGUAUCAUUUCUGAAUACAUUAGCUGUUCCUCCCACACAUCAGAACCUUUUCUUUAUUUAAUCAGUUGAGUGCUACCAAAAGAACUUGGUAUGUUUGGAGGAAUCAGGGGCUGUGCCAAAUGGCACAGUUAGUCUUUAGAAAUUAUUUGUUUAGGUGCUUUAAUUAAAGCAAAUUAUGUACCCAAAGAAUACAACCAACCAACAAGCCAGACAGGUACCUUAGAAGUUUUCAGGCUAUCAAGUAAAAGUCAGUACAUUAAAGCAAUUCUUUAAAAAUAAGAACUUCUAUAAUAAAAUAGCUAAACACAGUUUUCACAAUUAAAACAUACAUCUAUUAUUAAGUCCAAAAAUAAUGGUUUCACAAGUCUGUGGAAAUAUCUACUGUACACUAGAACCUCAAUAAUUCUUACUUUCUUCAUAAACAAGCCCAGUAAUUUCCCCAGAAAAAUGGCAGCCCCCCACGGCUCAGUGAAGAUUUAGUAGCAGAAAGCCAAAGCACAUUAUAUUAUGAAAACUUCAUUAUUUUAUAAUAUAUGCAACAGUAACUUUACUAAUAUAGGGUUCAAUUCUUCAUGUUCCUUCCAUACGAGUAAUCCUAUUGAAUUCAACUAGAUUAAUCCCAUGACUAAGGACAAUUUACAUGAGUAAAGAUUUCAGGACAAGGGGAUCAGUAUAAAAUAUAAAUAGUUUUCACUACAUUUAUAACACAUGAACAAAGUACACUCUGCAAUGCAGAUUACCUGCUCUGUGUGCAUGUGUGCGUGUUUAUGCACUUUCUUAAUUGCUAGUUCACAACAUAUGAAAAUCUGCAAUGGAUCUUCCUUGUUAUUAGGGCAAAUCAGAUUUUACUGAAUUUGCUAUACAUGUUACAGAAGGACAAAUAAUAAUAAAGGUCACAGUAGCUGAAGAUUUUUUUUAAAAAUAUGAAUCCUCCGCCGCUCCACAUAGAAGUAGAAAGAUGGGCACAAACCUAAAAAUACAAGAUAACUCAGUGCCCAGAGCUACUUUUAACUAUGCUCCUAAACAGGAGCUACAAACUGGUGACAGCUGCCUGAAUUUUCAUGCCAUUCCCUUUGGAAGAUGGACCUUGUAAAAAUGAUUUGAGGAUUGCCUUGUCAGUAUCGCUCAAUCCUAUGUCAUUACUUUAACAGAACUUGUGGAGAUGUCAAAUAUGGCCAUGCCCCUACACAGGUUCACAAGUAGGCUACCAAUCCAAUCUCUGUGAUUCUGAUCAACCUGUGGCCUAGAGGUAGAUAAUGUGCAUCAAACGAUCACACAAUUCCAGUUUAUUGCCAGUGCCAAUAUUGCUUUUUAUCUCACUUUGUUGUUCUAAUUUACAACACCAAUUUAGUCAGGGUCAUUGUAUUUGGACUUUCAGUGUUUUUAAAACACUGGGGCAGCAAAGGGAGAUAUGUUACAGUUAUCAAAAGAGAAUAUGAGGUACAGUGUAAUUACUAUUGUUUUCAGAAGCAUUGCUAUGUAGUAACUAUGUAGCUUACAUUACUCCGUGGUAACAAUGCAACUGACUUGCAUCAUCCCUCUCCAGUGCCUCGCACAAGGCUAAAAAUCCUAAUAGAAUAAUGUGCUGCCCAUAAAUCUUAACACAUUGUGUAUUAUUAGUAAAACUUUUUUAAAAUUCUUACUUGAUAAAGUAAUAAACUUGUUUGAUGAAUAAGACCCCACAUACCAAAUGGUGAAAUGCAAUAUGAGUUGUUAAAAGAAUAAACCUGUUGAAUAA